GAUGAACGCUGGCGGCGUGCCUAAUACAUGCAAGUAGAACGCUUAAGGAGUAAAUUUCUCUUCUGGAUGAGUUGCGAACGGGUGAGUAACGCGUAGGUAACCUGCCUGGUAGCGUGGGAUAACUAUUGGAAACGAUAGCUAAUACAGCAUGACAUCAGUUAUUGCAUGAUAACUGUUUAAAAGGGGCAACUGCUCCACUACCAGCUGGACCUGCGUUGUAUUAGCUAGUUGGUGAGGUAACGGCUCACCAAGGCGACGAUACAUAGCCGACCUGAGAGGGUGAUCGGCCACACUGGGACUGAGACACGGCCCAGACUCCUACGGGAGGCAGCAGUAGGGAAUCUUCGGCAAUGGACGGAAGUCUGACCGAGCAACGCCGCGUGAGUGAAGAAGGUUUUCGGAUCGUAAAGCUCUGUUGUAAGAGAAGAACGAGUGUGAGAGUGGAAAGUUCACACUGUGACGGUAUCUAACCAGAAAGAGACGGCUAACUACGUG
rnacentral:rRNA from 1 species